rnacentral:rRNA from 1 species
AUGCGCGUCCCGCUGCACCGCUUCUUCAGCGAGGUGCUCGCCCACUUCGGCAUCGCGCCGGCGCAGCUCACGCCGAACGGGUGGCGCACCAUGGCGGGCUUCAUGGUGGCCUGCCGCUCCGCCGGUGUUCCGGCGUUUCUUUGUGAUGUGCAGCCUCUGCCAGGAGCACGAGAAAGGCUGGUACUCAUUCCGGCCCAGGCGGGACAGCUCCGGCUUGCGCUUCAGGGGUUUGCCGAAGCCGGAUGCCAACUCCAUCAAGUGGAAACACGAGUUCUUCUUCCUCUCGUCGCCGGAGCCGUGGCCCUGCGCCAUGGAGUGGCGCGAGCGGUCCAACCGCUCCUCCAGCAACCCGGCUUCGGCAAGUGGUGCUCACUGUUGAGGAAAGCCAGUCGAUGCUGA